AACGCACAUUGCGCCCCUUGGUAUUCCGAGGGGCAUGCCUGUUCGAGCGUCAUUUCACCAAUCAAGCCACGCUUGGUAUUGGGGCCCGGCCUCUCCGCGGAUUGGCCCCCCCCGAAAUGCAUCGGCGAGGAAACCGACCCCCGGCGUGUUAGAUUUCUGAACGUCGGGAGCACCGGUCGACUCCGCCGUACAAUCUUUUUCCACAAGGUUGACCUCGGAUCAGGUAGGAAUACCCGCUGAACUUAA
rnacentral:misc_RNA from 1 species